AUUGAACGCUGGCGGCAGGCCUAACACAUGCAAGUCGAACGAGAGUCGGACGGGUGAGUAAUGUCUGUGAAACUGCGCGAGGGAGGGGGAUAACUACUGGAGACGGUGGCUAAUACCGCAUACCCCAGGAUGUGUCCAGAGGGGAUUAGCUAGUAGGUGGGGUAACGGCUCACCUAGGCGCCGAUCCCUAGCUGGUCUGAGAGGAUGACCAGCCACACUGGAACUGAGACACGGUCCAGACUCCUACGUGAGGCAGCAGUGGGGAAUAUUGCACAAUGGGCGCAAGCCUGAUGCAGCCAUGCCGCGUGUAUGAAGAAGGCCUUCGGGUUGUAAAGUACUUUCAGCGGGGAGGCGUUACUCGCAGAAGAAGCACCGGCUAACUCCGUGCCAGCAGCCGCGGUAAUUC
rnacentral:rRNA from 1 species